CCCUCCAGAAAAUGGUCUCGAUGGGCUUCUACGCGGGCGCGUGCUCCGGCGACGCCGCCCCUCCGUUAUUCUCCUCGCCAUUGUGAACCUCCGCGACCGCAUCACACGGGGAGGAGGGGCAUCUCGCCGACUUCCCAAGGCCCGCCAUGGCAUCGCGGUGUCGUGCCGAUCUAGCCUCCGCGCGACCUCGGGUGGGAGACGAGGUGGCGGAGAUGUUGUCCGUAUGGAGGUAGGACGGCGGACCUUCACCGGCAAGAUUCAAUGGAACAGGAGGCGACAGCAGCCUCCCUCAACCCCCUGCAGCUUCGGCCGCUUUGUCCUGCUGCUCCAGGCGAGAGGAACCAGCGCGGGGGCCAUGACGGCGCGUUGGGCGGGUGCUUCUCCCCGGUGCAUCAUGGUGGAGGAGCCUCGGGCCCUCCUCUCCUCCAGAGGCGGAUGUCUUUGUUGAUGAGGACCUCGGGCCCCUACUCUUCUCCCCAACGUGUAUUGGCUAUGUGAAGAGCUGACACGGCCAAUUUCGUUGAUAGACAGUGCGCGUCGUCGCCGGUGGAGCGGUCGGAUUCGGGUGGGGGCGCUGGAGGUUGCCGGCCUCCUCUCUCCUUGCCGUCGCCGCGUUGCGCGUCCGAGGCGGAUAGGGAUAGCCGUGCGCGUGGUAGCCAGCGGAGCGGCCGGAUUGGAGUGGGGGCGUCUCUCUCCUUGCCGUCGCCGCGUUGCGCGUCCGAGGCGGAGAGCCCGUGUGCGUGGUAGCCAGCGGAGCGGCCGGAUUGGAGUGGGGGCGCUGAAGAUUGCCGGCCUCCUCUCUCCCUGGCCGCGUCGCGGUACGCGUCCGAGGUGCGCAUCCUAGGUGCCGUCGGCCUCCAGAUCAUGCGUACGGUAGGAUCGAGCGCGGCCGCCGAAGCCAAUGUCGAGCCACGAGCGGUGGGCGCGGAGUUCUCGGUGGAGAGCACAACAGUGCGGCGCCACAGGUUUUCAGGUCAGCGCGUGUGGUGAUUUCCAUCCGCAACAAGGUCGGCCUCCUUCGGCGUGAUGAUUUCCAUCUUUUCUUUGAAAGUUUGGAUCCGCUUUGGAGGUGUAUCGGCAGCUUCCAUUUGUCUGUUGGGCCGCGUCGUGGAUGCUCCUGCCGGUCUGCAGCUUUUGGUCUAUCCAUGAAGAUUGGCUUCAUGCCUUUAGUUUGAAAAAGUUAGUAGCAGGCAAGCCACGUUUGCAUAUUUUGUUUGAUCAUUUGCACACUUACUGAAAUAUUUUGCUCGAUUGAGUGAUAAUACAGUGAUCUAGGUGCUUCCUUGUAGAAUUUCCUUAUACACUGAUACUGAUUUUUUUUUUUUCGAUAAAGAUACACUGAUACUGAUUUCUCGAGAUUUGUCAGGAAACAUGCUAAGCUUAGUGGGAAUAUAUAUGAUUUGAAGAAGAGUAUAUUUCUCAUUAUUCUCUGAAUCCAAAAAUCCUAAAUCGUUAUAGAUAUGGCACCACAGUUGUGUUCCACUGUAAUCUGCAGAAUUUCUGAGCGGGAAGGUUGACUGAACCUUUGCAUUCAUUUUGGAGAAUGGAAAAAGAAAGAUAAUAGAUGCAUGUUCUGCUGAUGUCCCGUUGGUAACACUCUAGGUAAUUAAGAUAAAUUAUUAUUGAGCACAAAAUUAACCUUUGUAUUACAACGUGUGCCAUUUUCACUGAUUCCCUCUCAUCAAAGGUUGGGCUUUGAGGAAACAAGCUUUGAAAGGGUGCAUCUAUAUUUUUAAAAUCAGAUUAACAAUAAAUAUUCUUUCUGACGUCUUAAGCAUCUCCUUAAGUUUAGUAUUACAACUUUUUUUGGGGUCUUUUCUGCCUAGCUUAUCGGAUUGAUGUUAUCUUAGUUCGAUCAAACAACUAACUGAAUUGAGGUGAUUAUUAAUUUACCUAGCAAUGCUCAGUAGCUACUGGGGACAUUGGCUAAGCAGCCACGUUCUCUUAGUUUGAUUAAACAACUAGCUGAAUUGGGGUGAUAAUUAAUUUACAUAGCAAUGCUCAGUAGCUACUGGGGACAUUGGCUAGGCAGCCACGGAUAGUUGAGGGGCGAUAGCUUGAUCUACUAUGCACAAUGUUGUUCAUAUAUGACGUUGAAACUUGAGAUGCCGAUGUAUGUCAGACCAAUUCCAUGGUGGAGAUUUUCCUAACAUUUUUAUAAUUCAUUGCGAUUUGUUGAAAGUGAAAGAAAAGAGGGAUGGAAGGCAUCUGCCAAUGAUGCCCAAAAUUUAGCCAAAAAAUCAAUUGAGAUUUGUUUAUGUAUUAAUAUUAAUGUUCCAUGUUCCGUUUUUUGGAAAUAUACAAUGAAUCGAUGAUCAUUAUCAUGCAGGUUGGCACUUCUCUUGGAGCACAAUUUACAGGAUAUCAGUAGCAAUGCUUGAGCUGCAUCUAAACAUAAAUUUAUAUCUUUCCCUUGCCUUCAAAAUAAAUGGAAGCAAACUUUAGUAUACACACUUAUCUGUUGUAGGCAUCUGUACACAGCGUAGAGAACUUCAAUCUAAUCAAAAUAAUACGGAAAAUUCGUUGCAUCUUACCUGCAACCCCUUGUAGUGUAUGACAAAAUAUAAGUGUUUUGUCCCUUUUUUGUAUUCUCAACUUUUCAUGCUUCUUGUGCUCAGAUCACAAAUGCCUAUUUCAUUGUAUUUCAGUUUAGAUCUCAAAGUUAAAUUUAGAAGAAGUUUGAAGUUAUGUUUAGAAUAUAAUUUUGUAGAAUAGAUUAUGACAGUGAAAUAUAGUUAAGAUGUUUGUUUAAUUUGUGCACUUGCACCCCUCGCCACUUCCUUCUGGAUGCAGAGCAGUACAAUGGAGGGCAUGUUAACAGGGAACUGAGUGGAUGUCCAGAGAUCACCUAUGUGGUGUCAAAAAGACAUGGAGAUCAGCUGACCAGUAUCUGAGAAUUUGCUUUACUCGAAGAAAAAUGAUACAACAAAUUCCAUCCAACAAGGAAAGUCAAUACAGCAUCAUCAUUUCCAGUGGUAGUCACUUCAAACUCUAUGUCUUCAUUACUUAGUUCUCCGAUUACCGGAUCUUUUUUUGGUAGAGGUUUGUCUUGAGAGGUACUAACUUUCUUACUCAAAUUGGUCUGUCCGGAUUAGAAAGGAAAAAAUGAGAGUUCCGAUACGGAUCAUUUGUAUCCCAACCACAUUCUCAUGUUUUCCUACAAAGUAUUUCCUUUUGUAGUGCUACAAGAAUGGACAGACCAGAGAAUAAGUCUUUACAUAAUUGCAGCCUUUUAGGAAUUUCUUAUAUUUAUUUUUUAGGGCAACCUCUAAAUUUACCUCACACUCUUAGUUUCAUUUCCUUUUCUACUCUGCUGAGAAAUAAUUAAGAUCUAAAACAGUAUUUACCAUUCAUUUAGUGUUUCAUUAUCUGAAGCUUGAUCUUCUCUUCUUAACUGCAAGCAUGCUUUAAAAUUUAUAUUCAUAUAUGAUAAAAACUUCGACCAUCUUGUGCAUCAACCCCUUGGUGGCAACAAAUAAACACUACUAACUAAUUGAGCACACUCUUCUGUAAACUGUGCUGACUUACCAUGUUGUAAAUCAUAUUUGAAAGAACAUGAUUGAUACUUUCUUGCACAUACUAGAUCAUAUAUGUCUUUGCAACUGGUUCUUAAUCUAAGCUACAAGUUUACUUUGCAUCUGUACAUCGGUCCCCUUUUGGAUUAAUUAAACUGAUCACUACCCUUCUUUUUCUUUAUAUGUUCCAUUAGUGCAUGAUUUCAGAAGAUCAAAAUUCUACUUCUCGCAAAUCUUUUUUGCUUCUUCACUUUCUUUAGUGCCUGAUUUUUGUUCCGUUGUCGCUGGCAUUUGAACUUCAUUUGUUCAAUUUGUCAAAUAAUGCAUUCAGUGUACAUGUUAUGCAUUUGUUGGCUGACUUCAAUUUUCUGAGAUAUCCAAAUAUAUGAAUUUUUUUCAUUGGUGUUAGGGUCUAAUCUCUUGCCGCAUGACUUAAACACUCAAAAGGAUCUUCUUUUGGUGUCUGACGGUUUGUAUUUCUUUACUUGUGAGUGCAAUAGAGGGCUAAAAGUAUUCUCUUAGAUUAAUAACAUACAUUUAGUAUAUGUGGGUUCCAUUUCAAAUUGUCGUUUUUUCUUUUGUGAGCUCAAUUUGAAAUAGUUAAGCAAGUAAAAAUUGUGGAUUCAGUGCAACGAUUUUCUCCUUUCACGGUCCUUAAAGUUAGUUGUGGCUCUGCUUAAAAAGGUUUCUGUAGUAUAUUUCACUAUCGAUGUGGACUUCUAUAAUCAAAUACUUUUAUUAGUGGAAAAAUAUAACAAAUGGUAAUUUAAAACUACAUAUCUAAUGCAAUGAACUUUUGUUGUUCCGGUUUGCGAUGUUGAACCUAUCAAGACACUGACUGAUGAUACACAUAAUUUAUAUAGAUGAGCUCCACAUGAAGUGAUUUGGAUGGAGCGAACCUGGAGAUUUAGAAGGACAACUUUUCAUAUAUUACAAUGUCGUUCUGUUUUCUUAGUCAUAAUUUGAGAAUUUUUGUUGUCAUAGUAAUGUUGGACUGAUAAGCUCCUUGUGGAGUUAGAGGAAGCGACUGCUGGUUGUGUGGACACGAGGAGUAGACCAUAGAAUUAGAGGCCAAAUUAAAAGUUGGGAUUUUGCAUCAGUGUGUUUGAGAAAUUGAUGCAAAGUCUAUGAAUGUUGAUGUUAAGAAGUUGGGUAUCUUUGAAAUUCUCGACAAGAGAUGAUCUUUGUCUUCAACCACGACAAUGAUUACAGUCAUGUACCAUAGAUGGCAAGAAUACCUGAUUAGUAGUAAGUUAGAUGCUGUCAAUUGAAAGGCAGCGGUUACCUUGGGCCUAUGUGUGUCCGUAUAAGUACCUUUAGUUCCA